rnacentral:rRNA from 1 species
UGGAUAACCUGCCCUCGGCACCGGGAUAGCCCGAGGAAACUCGGAUUAAUACCGGAUAGCCUUUCCGACUCUCGAGUCGGUUCGAAAAGGUAGCUUCGGCCUCUGGCCGAGGAUGGGUCCGCGGCGGAUUAGCUUGUUGGUGGGGUAAUGGCCUACCAAGGCGACGAUCCGUAGCUGGUCUGAGAGGACGAUCAGCCACACUGGGACUGAGACACGGCCCAGACUCCGUAGGGNGCAG